GAUGAACGCUGGCGGCGUGCCUAACACAUGCAAGUCGAGCGAAAAGUAAAGAGAUGAAGCUUCGGUAGAUUUUCAUUAUGGAAAGCGGCGGACGGGUGAGUAACGCGUAGGCAACCUGCCCUGUACAGGGGGAUAGCCACCCGAAAAGGUGAUUAAUACCCCAUAAAGCAAGAGAUACACAUGUAUCACUUGUCAAAGAUUUAUCGGUAUGGGAUGGGCCUGCGUCUGAUUAGCUAGUUGGUAGGGUAACGGCUUACCAAGGCAACGAUCAGUAGCCGACCUGAGAGGGUGAUCGGCCACAUUGGAACUGAGACACGGUCCAAACUCCUACGGGAGGCAGCAGUGGGGAAUAUUGCACAAUGGGGGAAACCCUGAUGCAGCAACGCCGCGUGAAGGAAGAAGGCCUUCGGGUUGUAAACUUCUGUCCUAGGGGAAGAA
rnacentral:rRNA from 1 species